UUCAAUAUUUUAUCUUUAUAAUAUUUUGUCCUUUCGGUUCAAAUUCCCCGUCAACCCAACUUCUCUCUCUCUCAUCCUUUCAGUUCCAUCCACUCACCAUCCAAACCGCCACCAGAAGUUUCUUUUUAUUUCCGACCACCCAAGUUCUUACCUCAAGCCCUUAGAUUCAGCUAUCCAGUCAUGUAACUCUCGUUUUCGUUUGCUUACUCUUCUUAUAUUUUUUUCUUUUAAUCCAUUGGCAUACAAGAUUUACUUUUAAUCUCCAGAUCCAGACCACCACAGCAAGAAAUCAGGCCCCCUGCUCUUUAUUUUUCAGAAACCCGGUUUUGGCCGCUUUUGAGGUUUUCCGGUUGAACCGGUAAUUCAACGGGUUUUUAGCUAUUCAACCGGGUUUUUGGGUUGAACCAGACCGGAACCACCCACCGGUUCGCGAUUAAACCGGUUGGACCGGCCGGUCCGGUCCGAGUUUCAAAACAUUGUUAUUAUGUAUAUAUUUACAAGGAGAAGCUGCGGCAGUUGGCGCAGUUGCAACGGGUUUUCAAAAUUUUUAAAGAAUUUUUUAAGGGAUUAUUUCACAAACAGCCCUCAUAUGCAUGGUCCAAUUAAGAGAGAUCCAAUUUUUUUUUUCCCUUUUUAAGAUAAAUUCAAAAUAUUAUUUAAUUACUCAUAAAUAAUUUAAUUCACUAUUAUACCCUUUACCUAACCCUUAAAGUCACGUGUUAUUAUUUUCUUUUUUCCCUCAUAUUUCUUCUCUAUCUCUCUUUUCUUUAACGGUAGCCGCCUCUCUUCCUCCACGUUGCGAUCUCUUCUCCAAAUCUCGGCCAUCUGUAAAUUUUCUUACUUCUCAGAAGAGUCUUCAGACGAGGUAAUAUUCCAUCCCUGAAUCACAUCAGAACCAAAUUUCCUCUUUAGUAUUAGAAGUUGAAUCUUCUCUCAUUUAUCAUUACCCGUGUUCUUCAGUUGAUUUUCGUUUCGGCAUAAGGUGGAAAUUCCAUUGUUAAAUUAAAGUAUUAAACCCAUCAAUGGUGACCUUUUUUAUUUUUUUGUUAAUUAAUUGCACAUGGUGAUUGUUGAGUUCGUUGUCUGUGCGUUUUUUUUUUAUUUUUUUCUACAUUGAAGGAAAGUGAAUCUUUGUUGUUGAAAAUGUGAUUUUGCCAGUAAUCGCAGGAAUUCACAUCUAUCUUAUGUUUGGUCUGGUAAUUUUGAUUUGCUUGAAUUUAAAUACUCUUUUAAUUGAAAUUUUUUUGGACUUAUGUUACGACACGCUUUUGCUAGCUUCUCGAGUUUAAUUAUCCGGUGAUUGAUUGUCAUUAUUGUUGUUAUUGUUUUGAAUUCUCAUUCAGGAAAAUUGAUAUUGUUAUAAGCCAGAAAAUAGAGAUCGAUAAAGCGAUAAGAGAAAGUGAUGAUAUAAGGUUGAAUUUUUGUUCUUUUAAAUUUGGUAAUAUUUUUGUUCUUGAUGAUUUUUUUGACGAAAUUGCUGAUGGGAGGAAGAAGAUGAUGAUUUUUUCAAAUAGUGGUUUACGUUUCAAAUAACGAGAAGAAGAUGAUUACACGGGACUAUGCUCUAGGGUUCAUUCGAGAGAAGAUGGUAUCCUUUAUAGUGGUUUUAUAGCUUCUUUUUCGCAGAAUUUUUUUUUCUUGUUAGAAUUCAUAGUGAUUUUCGAUGUUUAUAUAGUUGUGUAUAUAAAGUGGUUUUCAUGUUUAUAUAAUUGUUUUAUAUCGAGUGGUUUUCAUGUUUAUAUAUAGUUGUUCAUACAGAGUAGUUUUCAUAAUGUCAGGCUUUGUCUUUGAUAAAUUUAUAGUGGUUUUCAACAAUUUUAUAGUGAU
rnacentral:lncRNA from 1 species